rnacentral:rRNA from 1 species
UUAAGCGACUAAGCGUACACGGUGGAUGCCCUGGCAGUCAGAGGCGAUGAAGGACGUGCUAAUCUGCGAAAAGCGCCGGCGAGGUGAUAUGAACCUUUGACCCGGCGAUGUCCGAAUGGGGAAACCCAGUGCAAUUCGUUGCACUAUCGUUAACUGAAUACAUAGGUUAACGAGGCGAACCGGGGGAACUGAAACAUCUAAGUACCCCGAGGAAAAGAAAUCAACCGAGAUUCCCCCAGUAGCGGCGAGCGAACGGGGAGCAGCCCGGAGUCUGAAUCAGCUUGUGUGUUAGUGGAACGGUCUGGAAAGUCCGACGGUACAGGGUGAUAGUCCCGUACACGAAAGCACACUUGCUGUGAACUCGAAGAGUAGGGCGGGACACGUGGUAUCCUGUCUGAAUAUGGGGGGACCAUCCUCCAAGGCUAAAUACUCCUGACUGACCGAUAGUGAACCAGUACCGUGAGGGAAAGGCGAAAAGAACCCCGGCGAGGGGAGUGAAAAAGAACCUGAAACCGUGUACGUACAAGCAGUGGGAGCCUCUUUAUGGGGUGACUGCGUACCUUUUGUAUAAUGGGUCAGCGACUUAUAUUCUGUAGCAAGGUUAACCGUAUAGGGGAGCCGAAGGGAAACCGAGUCUUAACUGGGCGUUAAGUUGCAGGGUAUAGACCCGAAACCCGGUGAUCUAGCCAUGGGCAGGUUGAAGGUUGGGUAACACUAACUGGAGGACCGAACCGACUAAUGUUGAAAAAUUAGCGGAUGACCUGUGGCUGGGGGUGAAAGGCCAAUCAAACCGGGAGAUAGCUGGUUCUCCCCGAAAGCUAUUUAGGUAGCGCCUCGUGAACUCAUCUUCGGGGGUAGAGCACUGUUUCGGCUAGGGGGCCAUCCCGGCUUACCAACCCGAUGCAAACUACGAAUACCGAAGAAUGUUAUCACGGGAGACACACGGCGGGUGCUAACGUCCGUCGUGAAGAGGGAAACAACCCAGACCGCCAGCUAAGGUCCCAAAGUCAUGGUUAAGUGGGAAACGAUGUGGGAAGGCACAGACAGCCAGGAUGUUGGCUUAGAAGCAGCCAUCAUUUAAAGAAAGCGUAAUAGCUCACUGGUCGAGUCGGCCUGCGCGGAAGAUGUAACGGGGCUAAACCAUGCACCGAAGCUGCGGCAGCGACGCUUAUGCGUUGUUGGGUAGGGGAGCGUUCUGUAAGCCGUUGAAGGUGUCCUGUGAGGGGUGCUGGAGGUAUCAGAAGUGCGAAUGCUGACAUAAGUAACGAUAAAGCGGGUGAAAAGCCCGCUCGCCGGAAGACCAAGGGUUCCUGUCCAACGUUAAUCGGGGCAGGGUGAGUCGACCCCUAAGGCGAGGCCGAAAGGCGUAGUCGAUGGGAAACAGGUUAAUAUUCCUGUACUUGGUGUUACUGCGAAGGGGGGACGGAGAAGGCUAUGUCAGCCGGGCGACGGUUGUCCCGGUUUAAGCAUGUAGGCGGAGGUUCCAGGUAAAUCCGGUACCUUAUUAACGCUGAGGUGUGAUGACGAGGCACUACGGUGCUGAAGUGAUAAAUGCCCUGCUUCCAGGAAAAGCCUCUAAGCAUCAGGUAACACGAAAUCGUACCCCAAACCGACACAGGUGGUCAGGUAGAGAAUACCAAGGCGCUUGAGAGAACUCGGGUGAAGGAACUAGGCAAAAUGGUGCCGUAACUUCGGGAGAAGGCACGCUGAUAUGUAGGUGAAGUCCCUGCGGACGGAGCUGAAAUCAGUCGAAGAUACCAGCUGGCUGCAACUGUUUAUUAAAAACACAGCACUGUGCAAACACGAAAGUGGACGUAUACGGUGUGACGCCUGCCCGGUGCCGGAAGGUUAAUUGAUGGGGUUAGCGGCAACGCGAAGCUCUUGAUCGAAGCCCCGGUAAACGGCGGCCGUAACUAUAACGGUCCUAAGGUAGCGAAAUUCCUUGUCGGGUAAGUUCCGACCUGCACGAAUGGCGUAAUGAUGGCCAGGCUGUCUCCACCCGAGACUCAGUGAAAUUGAACUCGCUGUGAAGAUGCAGUGUACCCGCGGCAAGACGGAAAGACCCCGUGAACCUUUACUAUAGCUUGACACUGAACACUGGUCCUUGAUGUGUAGGAUAGGUGGGAGGCUUUGAAGCGUGGACGCCAGUCUGCGUGGAGCCAACCUUGAAAUACCACCCUUUAAUGGCUGGUGUUCUAACGUAGACCCGUAAUCCGGGUUGCGGACAGUGUCUGGUGGGUAGUUUGACUGGGGCGGUCUCCUCCCAAAGAGUAACGGAGGAGCACGAAGGUUGGCUAAUCCUGGUCGGACAUCAGGAGGUUAGUGCAAUGGCAUAAGCCAGCUUGACUGCGAGCGUGACGGCGCGAGCAGGUGCGAAAGCAGGUCAUAGUGAUCCGGUGGUUCUGAAUGGAAGGGCCAUCGCUCAACGGAUAAAAGGUACUCCGGGGAUAACAGGCUGAUACCGCCCAAGAGUUCAUAUCGACGGCGGUGUUUGGCACCUCGAUGUCGGCUCAUCACAUCCUGGGGCUGAAGUAGGUCCCAAGGGUAUGGCUGUUCGCCAUUUAAAGUGGUACGCGAGCUGGGUUUAGAACGUCGUGAGACAGUUCGGUCCCUAUCUGCCGUGGGCGCUGGAGAAUUGAGGGGGGCUGCUCCUAGUACGAGAGGACCGGAGUGGACGCAUCACUGGUGUUCGGGUUGUCAUGCCAAUGGCACUGCCCGGUAGCUAAAUGCGGAAGAGAUAAGUGCUGAAAGCAUCUAAGCACGAAACUUGCCCCGAGAUGAGUUCUCCCUGAGACUUUAAGUCUCCUGAAGGAACGUUGAAGACGACGACGUUGAUAGGUCGGGUGUGUAAGCGCAGCGAUGCGUUGAGCUAACCGAUACUAAUGAACCGUGAGGCUUAACCU